rnacentral:rRNA from 1 species
GCAGCGGAGCGUGUGGUUAAUUCGAUGCAACGCGAAGAACCUUACCAGGGUUUGACAUGCUUAAAGUAGAACCCGAAAGAGGGACGACCUGUAUCCCAGGUCAGGAGUUUGCACAGGUGCUGCAUGGCUGUCGUCAGCUCGUGCCGUGAGGUGUUAGGUUAAGUCCUGCAACGAGCGCAACCCUCGUCGCUAGUUGUUUUCUCUAGCGAUACUGCCCGUAUAACGUGGAGGAAGGUGGGGAUGACGUCAAGUCAGCAUGGCCCUUACAUCCUGGGCCUACACACACGCUACAAUGGGUGAUACAACAGGUUGCAAUAGAGUAAUCUGGAGCCAAUCCCUAAAAUCAUCCUCAGUACGGAUUGCAGGCUGCAACUGCCUGCAUGAAGUUGGAGUUGCUAGUAAACGCAGGUCAGCACACUGCGUUGAAUACGUUCUCGGGCCUU